CGAAAUUCAGUAGGAUAGUGCCGAAAGCCUCUUGUUCUGGAGGGGGUGAGGCACGAUAAGCAACCACACAGAACUAAGCAUGUAGAUAUCGGGAGGGGAGUAUUUUCGGACGCGGGUUCAACUCCCGCCGCCUCCACCA
rnacentral:tmRNA from 1 species